rnacentral:rRNA from 1 species
UUGGAGGGCAAGUCUGGUGCCAGCAGCCGCGAUAAUUCCAGCUCCAAUAGCGUAUAUUAAAGUUGUUGCAGUUAAAAAGCUCGUAGUUGAAUUUCGGGAUCAGACUGUCGGUCGUGCCUCGGUACGCACUGGCAUUAUUGGUUCCUACCUUCUGAAGAACCGCGAUGUCAUUAAUUUGGUGCCGCGGGGAAUCAGGACUGUUACUUUGAAAAAAUUAGAGUGUUUAAAGCAGGCGCACGCUUGAAUACAUUAGCAUGGAAUAA